GAUGAACGCUGGCGGCGUGCCUAACACAUGCAAGUCGAGCGAUUCUCUUCGGAGAAGAGCGGCGGACGGGUGAGUAACGCGUGGGUAACCUGCCUUGUACACACGGAUAACAUACCGAAAGGUAUGCUAAUACGAGAUAAUAUGCUUUUAUCGCAUGGUAGAAGUAUAAAAGCUUUUGCGGUACAGGAUGGACCCGCGUCUGAUUAGCUAGUUGGUAAGGUAACGGCUUACCAAGGCGACGAUCAGUAGCCGACCUGAGAGGGUGAUCGGCCACAUUGGAACUGAGACACGGUCCAAACUCCUACGGGAGGCAGCAGUGGGGAAUAUUGCACAAUGGGCGAAAGCCUGAUGCAGCAACGCCGCGUGAGCGAUGAAGGCCUUCGGGUCGUAAAGCUCUGUCCUCAAGGAAGAUAAUGACGGUACUUGAGGAGGAAGCCCCGGCUAACUACGUGCCAGCAGCCGCGGUAA
rnacentral:rRNA from 1 species